GAUGAACGCUGGCGGCGUGCCUAAUACAUGCAAGUCGAGCGAACAGACGAGGAGCUUGCUCCUCUGACGUUAGCGGCGGACGGGUGAGUAACACGUGGAUAACCUACCUAUAAGACUGGGAUAACUUCGGGAAACCAGAGCUAAUACCGGAUAAUAUAUUGAACCGCAUGGUUCAAUAGUGAAAGACGGUUUUGCUGUCACUUAUAGAUGGAUCCGCGCCGCAUUAGCUAGUUGGUAAGGUAACGGCUUACCAAGGCAACGAUGCGUAGCCGACCUGAGAGGGUGAUCGGCCACACUGGAACUGAGACACGGUCCAGACUCCUACGGGAGGCAGCAGUAGGGAAUCUUCCGCAAUGGGCGAAAGCUUGACGGAGCAACGCCGCGUGAGUGAUGAAGGUCUUCGGAUCGUAAAACUCUGUUAUUAGGGAAGAACAAAUGUGUAAGUAACUAUGCACGUCUUGACGGUACCUAAUCAGAAAGCCACGGCUAACUACGUG
rnacentral:rRNA from 1 species